rnacentral:misc_RNA from 1 species
AUGCGAUAAGUAAUGUGAAUUGCAGAAUUCAGUGAAUCAUCGAAUCUUUGAACGCACAUUGCGCCCGCCAGUAUUCUGGCGGGCAUGCCUGUCUGAGCGUCAUUUCAACCCUCAGCCCCCGUUCGCGGGGCGCUGGCGUUGGGGCCCGGCCGUCCUCGCGGCGGCCGUCCCCGAAACACAGUGGCGGUCUCCCGCAGACUCCCCUGCGUAGUAGCACUACCUCGCAGAAGGGACGAGCGGGCUGGCCACGCCGUAAAACACCCCACUUCUCCAGGUUGACCUCAGAUCAGGUAGGAAUACCCGCUGAACUUAA